rnacentral:rRNA from 1 species
GCAUAUCAAUAAGCGGAGGAAAAGAAACCAACAGGGAUUGCCCUAGUAACGGCGAGUGAAGCGGCAACAGCUCAAAUUUGAAAUCUGGCCCCCCGGCCCGAGUUGUAAUUUGUAGAGGAUGCUUCUGGGUAGCGACCGGUCUAAGUUCCUUGGAACACGGACGUCAUAGAGGGUGAGAAUCCCGUAUGCGACCGGCCCGCGCCCUCCACGUAGCUCCUUCGACGAGUCGAGUUGUUUGGGAAUGCAGCUCUAAAUGGGAGGUAAAUUUCUUCUAAAGCUAAAUACCGGCCAGAGACCGAUAGCGCACAAGUAGAGUGAUCGAAAGAUGAAAAGCACUUUGGAAAGAGAGUUAAAAAGCACGUGAAAUUGUUGAAAGGGAAGCGCUUACAACCAGACUUUGGGGCGGUGUUCCGCCGGUCUUCUGACCGGUCUACUCUCCGUCCCGAGGCCAACAUCAUCUGGGACCGCCGGACAAGACCUCAGGAAUGUGGCUCCCCUCGGGGAGUGUUAUAGCCUGUGGUGAUGCGGCGCGUCCCGGGUGAGGUCCGCGCUUCGGCAAGGAUGUUGGCGUAAUGGUUGUCAGCG